UACGUAGGGUGCGAGCGUUGUCCGGAUUUAUUGGGCGUAAAGAGCUCGUAGGUGGUUCGGUAAGUCGGAUGUGAAAUCUCCAGGCUCAACCUGGAGGGGUCAUUCGAUACUGCCGUGACUAGAGUUCGGUAGGGGAGUGUGGAAUUCCUGGUGGAGCGGUGAAAUGCGCAGAUAUCAGGAGGAACACCUAUUGCGAAGGCAGCUCGCUGGGACGUAACUGACGCUGAGACGCGAAAGCGUGGGGAGCAAACAGG
rnacentral:rRNA from 1 species